rnacentral:piRNA from 1 species
UGAACCUGGGAGGCGGAGGUUGCAGUGAGC